rnacentral:lncRNA from 1 species
GCACUUUCAUGGGUGAUGUUGGACGAUUGGAAGCAAGGAGAAGCAGGGGCGCAAGUCAUAGCAGGAGCGGGCCUGAGGUGAAGUCAACUUUCAGGACAUUUGCAAGAGCGAGAUCGCAGGGAGCAACCGCAUUAGGGGGCUUGCCGUGUUUGCGUGGGAAGGAGUUUUUUUUUUUCAAGCCUACUGUUUAAAUACUGAUUCUCAAUUAAUUUGUAUUUCUCUGUUUCUUAAUGUUCGUUCUGCAAAAUGUGCACUAAUUAUUAUGCCAUUAUUCUAGUGUGCACUGCUUCUUGAAUGGAAUAAUAGACCCCAGGUGCUACCUUUGCCAAAUACUAUUUAACCAAGAAAGAACAUGACAUGUUAGUGUGCACUGCUUCUUCAAUGGAAUAAUAGACCCCAUGUGCUACGUUUGCGAAAUACUAUUUAACCAA